AUUGAACGCUGGCGGCAGGCCUAACACAUGCAAGUAGAACGAGGGGCGGACGGGUGAGUAAUGUCUGGGAAACUGCCUGAUGGAGGGGGAUAACUACUGGAAACGGUAGCUAAUACCGCAUACCCUCAGAUGUGCCCAGAUGGGAUGAGCUGGUUGGUGGGGUAACGGCUCACAAAGGCGACGAUCCCUAGCUGGUCUGAGAGGAUGACCGGCCAAACUGGAACUGAGACACGGCCCAGCCUCCUACGGGAGGAAGAAGUGGGGAAUAUUGCACAAUGGGCGAAGUCUUGAUGCAGCCAUGCCGCGUAUAUGAAGAAGGCCUUGGGGUUUAAAAGUACUUUCAGCGGGGAGGCGUUACCCGCAGAAAAAGCACCGGCUAACUCCGUGCCAGCAGCCGCGGUAAUUC
rnacentral:rRNA from 1 species